rnacentral:rRNA from 1 species
GGGUCAGUAGGUUGGUCGUGCCACCGGUACGUACUGGUCUCACUGAUUCCUCCUUCCUGAAGAACCGUAAUGCCAUUAAUUAGGUGUUGCGGGGAAACAGGACUGUUACUUUGAAAAGAUUAGAGUGUUUAAAGCAAGCUAACGCUUGAAUACAUUAGCAUGGAAUAAUGAAAUAGGACGAUCGAUCCUAUUUUGUUGGUUUCUAGGAUUGACGUA